rnacentral:rRNA from 1 species
CAGCAGCCGCGGGAAUACGAAGGGUGCAAGUGUUACUCGGAAUUACUGGGCGUAAAGCGUGCGUAGGUGGUGGUUUAAGUCCGUUGUGAAAGCCCUGGGCUCAACCUGGGAAUUGCAGUGGAUACUGGGUCACUAGAGUGUGGUAGAGGAUAGUGGAAUUUCCGGUGUAGCAGUGAAAUGCGUAGAGAUCGGAAGGAACAUCUGUGGCGAAGGCGACUAUCUGGGCCAACACUGACACUGAGGCACGAAAGCGUGGGGAGCAAACAGGAUUAGAUACCCCUGUAGUCCCUGUCUCUUAUAC